UAGGGAAUCUUCGGCAAUGGACGGAAGUCUGACCGAGCAACGCCGCGUGAGUGAAGAAGGUUUUCGGAUCGUAAAGCUCUGUUGUAAGAGAAGAACGAGUGUGAGAGUGGAAAGUUCACACUGUGACGGUAUCUUACCAGAAAGGGACGGCUAACUACGUGCCAGCAGCCGCGGUAAUACGUAGGUCCCGAGCGUUGUCCGGAUUUAUUGGGCGUAAAGCGAGCGCAGGCGGUUAGAUAAGUCUGAAGUUAAAGGCUGUGGCUUAACCAUAGUAGGCUUUGGAAACUGUUUAACUUGAGUGCAAGAGGGGAGAGUGGAAUUCCAUGUGUAGCGGUGAAAUGCGUAGAUAUAUGGAGGAACACCGGUGGCGAAAGCGGCUCUCUGGCUUGUAACUGACGCUGAGGCUCGAAAGCGUGGGGAGCAAACAGGAUUAGAUACCCUGGUAGUCCACGCUGUAAACGAUGAGUGCUAGGUGUUAGACCCUUUCCGGGGUUUAGUGCCGUAGCUAACGCAUUAAGCACUCCGCCUGGGGAGUNAGACCGCAAGGUUG
rnacentral:rRNA from 1 species